AUACUUACCUGGCAGGGGAGAUACCAUGAUCACAAAGGUGGUUUUCCCAGGGCGAGGCUUAUCCAUUGCACUCCGGAUGUGCUGACCUCUGCUAUUUCCCCAAAUGUGGGAAACUUGACUGCAUAAUUUGUGGCAGUGGAGGACUGCGUUCGCACUCUCCCC
rnacentral:snRNA from 1 species